CGGAGGUCCCGAGCGUUGUUCGGAUUCACUGGGCGUAAAGGGUGCGUAGGCGGUCGGGUAAGUCUGAUGUGAAAUCUCAGAGCUCAACUCUGAAACUGCAUUGGAUACUAUUCGGCUUGAGGUCUGGAGGGGGGACUGGAAUUCUCGGUGUAGCAGUGAAAUGCGUAGAUAUCGAGAGGAACACCAGUGGCGAAGGCGAGUCCCUGGACAGGUCCUGACGCUGGGGCACGAAAGCUAGGGGAGCAAACAGGAUUAGAUACCCUGGUAGUCCUAGCCGUAAACGGUGCGUAUUUGCUGUAAAAGGAAUCGACCCCUUUUGUGGCGUAGCAAACGCGUUAAAUACGCCGCCUGGGAAGUACGGUCGCAAGAUUA
rnacentral:rRNA from 1 species